CCUACGGGAGGCAGCAGUGGGGAAUUUUGGACAAUGGGCGCAAGCCUGAUCCAGCAAUGCCGCGUGCAGGAUGAAGGCCUUCGGGUUGUAAACUGCUUUUGUACGGAACGAAACGGUCCUUUCUAAUACAGGGGGCUAAUGACGGUACCGUAAGAAUAAGCACCGGCUAACUACGUGCCAGCAGCCGCGGUAAUACGUAGGGUGCGAGCGUUAAUCGGAAUUACUGGGCGUAAAGCGUGCGCAGGCGGUUAUAUAAGACAGAUGUGAAAUCCCCGGGCUCAACCUGGGACCUGCAUUUGUGACUGUAUAGCUAGAGUACGGUAGAGGGGGAUGGAAUUCCGCGUGUAGCAGUGAAAUGCGUAGAUAUGCGGAGGAACACCGAUGGCGAAGGCAAUCCCCUGGACCUGUACUGACGCUCAUGCACGAAAGCGUGGGGAGCAAACAGGAUUAGAUACCCUGGUAGUCCACGCCCUAAACGAUGUCAACUGGUUGUUGGGUCUUCACUGACUCAGUAACGAAGCUAACGCGUGAAGUUGACCGCCUGGGGAGUACGGCCGCAAGGUUGAAACUCAAANAGAGUUAGACGGCGUGAGACGUAGCGACGGACGACGACGAGGGAGGAGG
rnacentral:rRNA from 1 species